GCAGUCGAUCGGUAGGUACAAGAGCCUAACGGAUCGAUAUUUAGGGUCGGCUAUUGUUAUGUUUGUGAUCUUUUGAAAGUAUUACAAGACUUUUUUGAAGAAGAAGAAGGUUUAAUGUAUGGGGCCGGAAUAGCAGAAUAAACGUUCAAGUCGAUUUUUCAGCGAUAACCGGGAGGAACAUUACAACGCCCGCCAAUGGACGGGAAAUUUCAGAGAGGGGUCCAGAUUAUUUAUUAUAUAUUGAAAUUAAAUAAUGCAAACUGAAAAUAAUUAAAAUUUUUUGAUACCGUAAGAAGGUCUCUUUUUAUCCCAAAAAGUUUUAUUUGGCUAUCAUUAAUAGUUUUCUA